ACACCUCAACUCCUCAUGGUCUUCUAUGAUGAGCUUGGACUUUGGGGGCUUGCUGGCCCAUUUGGUCAGCUCCUCUCAAAUGAAUCAGCCUACCAGUGUUUGGUGGCACCACAGGUGUGAUAACAAUCUACGCUUGAGGUUUUCCACCAGGCAACCUUCAGUAAUUGGGGUUCACUGGGGCUCACAAAUGUCUUUCUUCAGUGAGGACAGAUCUUUGAUU
rnacentral:misc_RNA from 1 species